AAUAGAAAUCUUCACUUUUCUUUCUCUCUCGCUUAAACUGUCGACAGAAAAAAAAAAAACUUGCGACUUCUUCUUCUUCUCCUACGCUCAUCUCCGAUCUCAGGCAACUCCUUCUCCGUCACCACCUCCAAGUCACAGACCCCUUCGAUUUCGAAAACCCCAACCCCAUCUCGUGUUCAUGUUUAUUGCGAGAGAGAAACCCUAAUUCCACACCACCGCAUGCAAUUCCCAGAAACAUAAACUUGAUGGCUUCAUCUUCUGUCAUUAGAAUGUAUCCUCGGCGCUUGUACGAAGUUGGGAGAACACCAAUUCAGAACAGAAUUUGAUUCAUGGAUGGUUCAGAAAAAGAUCAAUUCACAAGAUGGAUUGCCAAUACAAUGUGUUGUGAAGAAGGAGAAAAAAGCUAAGAAGAUGAUAUAGAAGGAGGAACUUACGAACAAGGAGGAGAAAAAGAAUGAGAAGAAAGCUGAAGUACCAGUAAAAAAAGUAAAGCAAGAGAAAGCCUUCGAUAUACCAGAACUUAAAGAUGAAUCUAUAUCAUCAGAAGCUUGGGAAAAUCAUCUUUAAUGGAAUUUAGAUGAAUGUAUAACUUGCUGGUUUAUGGAUUUAGAUGGAUGUAUAACUUGCUGGUUUUUGGCUUUAAAUGGAUUUAUAAUUUGCUGGUU